GUACAAGCGUUAAAGCGCGAAAAGGCUGGUGGUUAUUUAACCACCAGCCU
rnacentral:sRNA from 1 species